GGGGAAUUUUGCACAAUGGGCGGAAGCCUGAUGCAGCGACGCCGCGUGAGGGAUGACGGCUUUCGGGUUGUAAACCUCUUUUAUCCAUGACGAAGGCCUGGUUUUUGCCUGGUUGACGGUAGUGGUUGAAUAAGCGCCGGCUAACUACGUGCCAGCAGCCGCGGUAAGACGUAGGGCGCGAGCGUUGUCCGGAUUUAUUGGGCGUAAAGGGCUCGUAGGCGGCUCGUCGCGUCUGCCGUGAAAGACUACAGCUUAACUGUGGUUUUGCGGUGGAUACGGGCGGGCUUGAGGCCAGUAGGGGAGAUCGGAAUUCUACGUGUAGCGGUGAAAUGCGCAGAUAUGUGGAGGAACACCGGUGGCGAAGGCGGAUCUCUGGGCUGGUUCUGACGCUGAGGAGCGAAAGCAUGGGGAGCGAAC
rnacentral:rRNA from 1 species